rnacentral:rRNA from 1 species
AUUGAACGCUGGCGGCAGGCCUAACACAUGCAAGUCGAGCGGAUGAAGGGAGCUUGCUCCUGGAUUCAGCGGCGGACGGGUGAGUAAUGCCUAGGAAUCUGCCUGGUAGUGGGGGAUAACGUCCGGAAACGGGCGCUAAUACCGCAUACGUCCUGCGGGAGAAAGUGGGGGAUCUUCGGACCUCACGCUAUCAGAUGAGCCUAGGUCGGAUUAGCUAGUUGGUGGGGUAAAGGCCUACCAAGGCGACGAUCCGUAACUGGUCUGAGAGGAUGAUCAGUCACACUGGAACUGAGACACGGUCAAGACUCCUACGGGAGGCAGCAGUGGGGAAUAUUGGACAAUGGGCGAAAGCCUGAUCCAGCCAGGCCGCGUGUGUGAAGAAGGUCUUCGGAUUGUAAAGAACUUUAAGUUGGGAGGAAGGGCAGUAAGUUAAUACCUUGCUGUUUUGACGUUACCAACAGAAUAAGCACCGGCUAACUUCGUG